UAACUUGAAAAUAGUUUAACAAACUUUCUAAAAACACAUAUAUGCUUUUUAUCACCAACCAAAGGUUGAAAAUUUCUUUAAAAAAAUUUAAAGAUUAUAAAAUAUUUUUACGUUACCUCUUUUCUAAAUAUGCUUAAGAGAAAUUUAUUAAGUAUGCAAGAGGACAAUAAAAUAAAUUAAAAUAUAUUAUUUAUUUUAGUGCUACAAAUAUUUAAGUGUUUUUAACAUUGCAUUAAUAUAAGUUGAAUAUAUCUCAAUUCAUUUGUAAAAUUAAAAGAUAAAAAUAUAUGGCUAAAAUUCUCAAAUUUUUUUAUGCUAUAGUUUUAUUUUUGUCUCUAUUCUUUCUUUCAGGGAAGGCUGUGAAGUCUGUCUUUUCAUGUAAUGAUGCUUACGAUUGUCAAACCGUGUUAGUUCUCGACAAAAACUUUGGUGGCAAACUCUUCUGCAUUGAAAAUAUUUGUUGGUUGCUUAUGAAGAUAUAAGGAAGAAAUAUAAAGAGAAAACUACGAAUAAUAUAUGUUAUGGUAGAAUAUUUUAUAAGUUGUCAAUUUAAUAUUUAUGCUUCCAACCAAAAAUUGUAUUUUUAUAUACUUUGAAAUUACAAUAAAAAUUACUUUAAUGUAAUUUUUUCA